rnacentral:misc_RNA from 1 species
AAAUAGCCAAUGGUUCCUGCCACACGUGUACUAACAUGAGUAGCGUUGGGGGGAAUGAGCUUUGCCAGGCCAAAAUCUGAAAUCUUGGGUGUCAAGUCUUUGUCAAGGAGAAUAUUACUCGCUUUGAUAUCACGGUGAAUUAUAUGUGGCUUCACUUGCUCAUGAAGAUAAGCUAGCCCCUUCGCAACUCCAAUGCAAAUUUUAGUCCUUGUUCGCCAACUGAACUGGAUGCUACUGUGUCCUCCACCGAGAAGCGUUUGAGCAAGGCUGUUGUUUUCAAGAUAGUUGUAGACCAAUAUCCUGUGAUCGUCUUCUAUACAACAGCCAUAGAGUUUCACUAGAUUUUCAUGGUCAACGUCUGAAAUUACUUUGAUUUCUGUCAAGAACUCCCUGACACCUUGCUUUGAUUCACUUGAAAGAACCUUUAUAGCAGCCAUCUUUCCACUUUUUAGCCUUCCCUUAUAAACAGAACCAAAUCCACCCUCUCCAAUUUUAUUUAAAGUACUAAAAUCAUCUGUGGCGAUUCUUAACUGCUUAUAGGAGAAAAGAGUGACAUUCUUGACGCCAGAGAGCUCAUCAUCAAAUUCAGAUGCAUGCCUAGUUGAUGACUGAUGUUUUCUAUGGAACAAAGGGAAGCAAGUCAUAACUUUAGGAUGCACCAAUGACCUUCUGUAUAUGAUAUCAACCAAAAUCAGAGCCUCAAAAAAUAGCAGAAAACAAAAGCAGGUGACCUUGCUGUUUUUUGGGUUCCUUUUCUUUUUUGAGUUUUCCAAAGAAGUGAA